CCUACGGGAGGCAGCAGUGGGGAAUAUUGCACAAUGGGGGAAACCCUGACCCAGCAACGCCGCGUGAAGGAAGAAGGCUCUCGGGUUGUAAACUUCUUUUAUCAGGGACGAAGCAAGUGACGGUACCUGAUGAAUAAGCCACGGCUAACUACGGGCCAGCAGCCGCGGUAAUACGUAGGUGGCAAGCGUUAUCCGGAUUUACUGGGUGUAAAGGGCGUGUAGGCGGGAAAGCAAGUCUGAUGUGAAAACCAUGGGCUCAACCUGUGGCCUGCAUUGGAAACUGUUUUUCUUGAGUACUGGAGAGGCAGGCGGAAUUCCUAGUGUAGCGGUGAAAUGCGUAGAUAUUAGGAGGAACACCAGUGGCGAAGGCGGUCUGCUGGACAGCAACUGACGCUGAGGCGCGAAAGCGUGGGGAGCAAACAGGAUUAGAUACCCCUGUAGUC
rnacentral:rRNA from 1 species